rnacentral:misc_RNA from 1 species
GGUUUCCUAGAGGUUGCAAAGGUAUGAAGUUUUAUUGUGGUUCCUUCUUCUCUCACUUUUUUCUUCCCUUCCUUUUGUUUUUUCAAUUUCUUUUUUGGUCUUCUUAUAUUCCAAUAUCCUUUUAUUCUGUUCAUUUAUCAUAUCCUUUGUUUUAGAUAUUGAAUCAUCAUGAUACAAUUAAAUUCCUCUCUACUGAAUUUAAAUUAACUAUUCUAGGGCUUAAUGAAGUCAAAGAUCUAUGUAGAUUAUGUGUCAAUGGUUUCUUUUUUUGAAUCUUGGCUUAUAAUUUUGCCUGUUGGAGGCUUUUAACCAUUUAUGAUUGUAGCGUAAAUCUUGGAUCAAGUGAU